AUAUGGGUAUCAUAGUAAAUUAUGUACUUCAUUUAUUAUUUUUUAAGGGGCGUGAAAAAUCGAAACGUGCCAAGUAAAAGUAAACGGAGGGAGUAUUCAAUUUUGAUUGCAACAAACCACGAUUUCCACAUGGCCUGGCAUAUUUGAUGACAACAGGUGUUUUCGCCAUUAAGGUCUUCCCAAAAGGUUUGUGCUCACAAGGUCAAACGACACCAUCUUCUACAUUUUCUAAGGUUUGCUUUAUUUUCUUUCGCAUGAUGCCUUGUUACUUUCGAUCCCAACAAGUGAUAUUAGAGUUAAUGGUAGAAGCGAGAUUGAAGACAAGUUCAAGGUGGAUUCAGAUCAAGCAACGACCAAUUUGACGAUACUGGAGAUUUUUUAUCCAAAAAAGAAAAAAGAAUACUCAGAAUACUACAUGUGGAGAUAAAUUUUAAACCCUAGUUUCAAAAUAUAUGCUGCUGCAUAUUCAAAAACAAAAACCAUUUUAACCUAUGUUUAUGGUCUCCUACUUUUAAUCCUACUCACUUUUAACGUA